GCAAAGAUUAAUUUUUAAGUUUAUUUAAUAAAUAAUGUGAAGGUGGUGCUGGUAGAAAGAUGCAUGGUUUCGGAUCAUCCAACAGCGACAAGGCACUCAAGGUUAGUGUUGAUGACGUGAACAAUGGAGAAUAUGCUCUGAAGGUGACGACUGUGAAGGCAAAUAACACAACGGCGGAGCAGGCACACACUGCAGCUGUGCUGUUGUCUCAACCUGAAGCAGCUGUGCUUCGUGAAUUGGGAGAAAAACUCCUUUCCCAUAUCAGAUCAAGAAUCUGAUUUUUUUAUUUUUUAUUUUUUAAGUUUGGAGGUUGGACAUUAGUCAAGUUACCAAUCGAAUAAAAUACCACUCCAGAAUCAGCUGUGUUUCUACUAAUUUUUGAAUUUUGACAAAUAAAUUUACUUAGAUCAGUUACUAUGUUGUAUCAGAUCAAGGUAGCAUGUUUUUUUAGAGGAUCUGCAAGGUAGCAUGUUCCUUUGGUUCUUGCUGUUGUUUGAUUUAGAAUUUGUUUCUCUAUUUCUUGUUAUUUGUUUCUUUUAGGUAGUUGUUUUGAGAUAGCUCCUUUUGUUGUUGCAAUUAUCUGGUGUAUCAGUUCGCACAUCUUGUGCAUGUUGCAGUUAUUAGUGUUUGGCCUCUUUA